GGACUGUAACUGACGCUGAGGCGCGAAAGUGUGGGGAGCAAACAGGAUUAGAUACCCUGGUAGUCCACACUGUAAACGAUGAAUGCUAGGUGUAGGGGGUAUCGACCCCUUCUGUGCCGCAGUCAACACAAUAAGCAUUCCGCCUGGGGAGUACGGCCGCAAGGUUGAAACUCAAAGGAAUUGACGGGGGCCCGCACAAGCAGCGGAGCAUGUGGUUUAAUUCGACGCAACGCGAAGAACCUUACCAGGUCUUGACAUCCAGUUAAAGCAUAAGAGAUUAUGUGUGUGCUUGCACAAACUGAGACAGGUGGUGCAUGGUUGUCGUCAGCUCGUGUCGUGAGAUGUUGGGUUAAGUCCCGCAACGAGCGCAACCCUUACAUUCAGUUACUAACGUGUGAAGGCGAGGACUCUGAAUGGACUGCCGGGGACAACUCGGAGGAAGGUGGGGACGACGUCAAAUCAUCAUGCCCCUUAUGACCUGGGCUACACACGUGCUACAAUGGCCACCACAGAGAGGAGCGAACCUGCGAGGGGGAGCGGAUCUCAAAAAAGUGGUCCCAGUUCGGAUUGUGGGCUGCAACCCGCCCACAUGAAGUCGGA
rnacentral:rRNA from 1 species